CGACGCGCGUUUUUCUUACGUACGUAUAAGGUAUAACAACAUACAAACGAAGAACAACAACAAUAAUCGGUUAUCACAAUAACCUUACAAUUAUUCAUGAAUAUAUUAUGUUGUUAUAAUUCACAAUUGUAAUUUAAAUAAUAAUAAUAAUUCAUUGUGUACCUAAGUGUGUGUGUGUGUGUGAGUGUGUGUUGGCCGGUCGGUGACAAAUAUAAUAUAGGCUAUUGACCCAUAUCUGCUCUGCUUCGGUUACGGUGUGGUGCGACGGAAAUACAUGGACAAUCGACAUAGUACCUAUACGUGGAGUUUGCAAAGGCACCCAUCAUAAUUUUAUUAAUACCAUCUGAUUGUUGGUCGGACCAUGGGAUUUAUGAAAUUUAUGAGUAAUAAGAAUAACAAUAUUUACCUAUACCAAUAAGUUAAUUAAUAGUUAUAAAUGUACAACUAAUAAGUAUCAAGUAAUGACUUAUGAAAUAUAUUAUGUAGAUGUGUAUGGAGUAUCUAUGUUAUAAUACUAUAAAAAUCCAUUUUUGUUCGAACGUUUCGUACAAAAGGUGUGAACAAAAGCGCAAUCGAAACAAAAUACUGUGAUAAGCUGGUCCGAAGCUGUAACGCGAACUGCCAGCACCGUCAGUAACAGUCGGUAGUAAACACAAACGUUUUUAUUUAUUGAUAAAAGGCAAAAACAACUUACUGGCCAUCCCGUGCUGGCACACGAAAUGUUGUGUUCGUCUGUAUAAAUGCAACGGACACCAUUCCCUUCUAACAUCUAAGUGACCUUAGAAAAUGUUUGAUAAUUAUAAUUUUAACUUUUAACCUCGGUCGGUCAUUGUAACUAAGUAUAGGUGUAUGCCUACCUAUUUUUUUUAUAAUAAUCGUUAUAUUUGUAACUUCUUAUUUGAAUACAAUUGAGUAAAAUAAAUUAAAAUGUUUGUGUUGCACGGUCUUAA